rnacentral:rRNA from 1 species
GGACCCGCACAAGCGGUGGAGCAUGUGGUUUAAUUCGACGCAACGCGAAGAACCUUACCUGGGCUAGAAUGUGAGAGAAGACUCUGCAAAACGGAGUCGUCGAAGGGAAACCGGAGACUCGAAACAAGGUGCUGCACGGCUGUCGUCAGCUCGUGUCGUGAGAUGUUGGGUUAAGUCCCGCAACGAGCGCAACCCUUACUGCUAGUUGCUAACAGGAAAGCUGAGAACUCUAGUAGAACCGCUGAUGAUAAAUUGGAGGAAGGUGGGGACGACGUCAAGUCAUCAUGGCCUUUAUGCCCAGGGCUACACACGUGCUACAAUGGAUGGUACAAAGAGAUGCGAGACCGCGAGGUGGAGCCAAUCUCAUAAAAGCAUCCUCAGUUCGGAUUGUAGUCUGCAACUCGACUACAUGAAGUUGGAAUCGCUAGUAAUCGCAGAUCAGCAUGCUGCGGUGAAUACGUUCCCGGGUCUU